UGCACUUACUGUGAGCUCGAUGAGUAGGGCGGGACACGUUGUAUCCUGUCUGAAUAUGGGGGGACCAUCCUCCAAGUCUAAAUACUACUGACUGACCGAUAGUGAACCAGUACCGAGAGGGAAAGGCGAAAAGAACCCCGGCGAGGGGAGUGAAAAAGAACCUG
rnacentral:rRNA from 1 species